ensembl:lncRNA
CACCACCUGCACACCUGCCCUCCUGUUGGAAGGGAACAAGAAAAAAAAAGCUGCCCGAGAGGCUGGGCAGGCACAACCACUUGGCACCAGCUGCUGAAUUUGCAGCCAAUUUCCAGCGAGCAACUUGGGAGCACGGCCUUUCAGCUGAGCACAGAGAGGCUGGUGUCCCUUCUAAUCGCCAUCAGCUGGAGAUGUGUCCCCCAGCUGCAGUGUCCCUGGACAAAGGCAGCCUUGAACAUCAAGGCUUGCAGUGUGCUCAGGAAUGAAUCUGUAUUAGCACAUUCAGGUUUGGGGGCUGAUUCCUCUUAUCCCAGCAGGAGUAGCCCCGUGGCAUUCCCCUCCGCACUGCAGGUUGAGGGACAAGCCCAGGAAGGGGGCUGGGGAUGCCAUGGUCCUGCUGGAGCUUGGUGGUGCUGGGAAGCAGGAUGGAAAGCUGCGAGAGCCUGUCAGCCUCAUUCACACAUUAUCAGAUGGGGGAAGCCCAAAGAGCUGGGUGGGAGGUAAUUAAUCUUGGUCACCACAGGAAGGUUCCAGGAGGGGAAGGCUGGGUCAAGAGAAGGCCCUGUGGAAGGAGAGGUGUGAGCCUGACCAGGGCUCUAAUGCAUUUUUGCACCUAAUGCAGAGCUCACCCCAGGUCUGAAGGCACCUUUGUACUUUUCUGUGGCUUAAUAUGGGCAUUUUAUUUGGGAUCAUCACUUUCUCCUCACCACAAAGCACACCAUCAUCACUGCAAAACACUUUUAUGACACGGUUAUCUGAUUACCUGAAAGCACUUUAUCAGCAUUAACUCAUUAGUUUUCCCCACAUCCACAGCAGGAGGAGCAGACAGUGAUCAGACAGUGAGGUCCCCUGUCCCCAUGCCUCACCCCCAAAUCUAGUCCCGAGAACAAAGAACUGGGGUAUCCACACCCCACAGGACUUUGCUGCUGAAGCAGAGCCUUGAAGGCCCAGAGGAAGGUGAGACGAGCCAGCAAGUGAGGGCAGGGGAAGGGUUGUGACACAGGAACCCCACAGUGCCCAGAGUGCUGGGCAGGGCCACCCAUCCAUUCCCGGUUUUGUCUCUCAAUUAGGUUCCACUUCCAGCACCCUCAGUGCGCUUCGCUGGUUUACAGUUGUUAUUCCUUGAAGUUUUCAGUCAUCAUCACAGAGCAGCUCUGUGCCAUCUCCAGAGGUGUCCUUGUUUUUGGACAUGUGCCAUUUUAUUCUCUUGUUUUUUUCCCUCAUUUUGUCCCCCAGCCCAUUCGAGCUCUUCUCACCUGGGCCAGGUCAGAGGGAGCUGCAGUUCCAGCUGUGCCUGGGCUCUUUCUGGCUGUUCCCUCUGCUUGUGUGUCUUUCAGCUGCUCACAGCCCCUCUGCAAAGCCUCCUCUCAGCACAUUUGUGCCUCCCCCAGCAGUAUCUCCUGCUGCUCUCAAGUUCUCCAGGCUCAGCAUCAUCCUCGUCAUCACCUGGGGAUGGUGAUGCUCAUCCCUCCUCUGCACAUCCCUCUGGAAUGGUUUUGCUCUGCACUGCUUGUGUAAGGAUGUGGUUACCCAUCAUACAAACAUCAUACGUGACUGACACAUCACUUGCAUCCCCCAGUCAAACAGGUGAUUCUGGCAAGGAGAAAUUUAAAAUAUUAUUAAGAGAAUUAACAGAAUUAAUUAACAGAAAACAUGGGCACAUGUGUUAGUGUUGGCAGACUGCAGAAGCAGGUGGAGACUCCCUCCUUAUUUUAGUUCCUAUCUUGGCCUUUACUUCACUGCCUGGAUGGCUGUGCUGCUGCACCCAACCUAUCCAUCUUUGCAUCCCCAAAAUAUUGUUAUUUAAUUCCCUUCACAGCCACUUGCCAAUCCUGAUGGCCAAGCAGUUCUUCUGCUGAUAAAAAAUUGAGCAUCAGUCAGUAAAUCAGCAGCAGCAGAAAUGCUGAGUCAUUAAAUCUUGCAGCGUGAUCUAUUUUAGCUGGGUUUAGGAGCUACUGGGAGAGCAUACCUGCAGGGGUAUGACAACAUUUCUGUCUGGAGCACUGCAGCCAUUGCAAGGCAGGGAAAUGCAGUGGUGGUUUAUCAGCUCCUUCAGAAGUAGGUCAGCAACUGGCCACCCUGUUCUCUCCUCCUUCUUCCCUACGUUCCUGCCUUCAGCAUGAGAAUUGCAUUCCAAAUCAGAAGUGCUACGGGGCUGUACCCCGCAGGUGAGCAACAUGCAGGUAACUCAAAGACACUUUUUGAGCCCUGUCUACACCUGGGGCUCAAGGAGGUCGGAGCACAAGCCUCCAGAGAGGGACCCUGCCUGGUCAAGCCAGAGAGGUGUAUGUAGGGCAUUUGGACAGGGCACGGUGCCCCCUAUACACGCCCUUGAUAGGACCUGCAUCUUCCCUCCACAUCCCAUCUCUCCUAUUCUUGCAUGCUCUCCAUGCCUUGGUACCCAGAAUUCUGUCCUGUUUCUUGGAGGCUCACCAGCUGACCUUCAGCAAGAGCCUCUGCAGAGGUGCCCUCCCUUCAGGUCCCACUUUGUGUACCGCAAGGCUGAAAACCAAAACUCCACUAGUUUCCAGAUCAGCUUUGCGAUGAGGUGGAGGACUGGCAUCUCACCAGCAUCACCAUCAGCCUCCUAUCCAGCAACUGUAAGGUGGCACCCAGUGUGGAUUAUUGUAGGAAACCUGCUUUAGCAGUUGUAUAAAACAGUCUCUUGGGGCCCCUUCCAACCCCUACAGUUCUCCGAUUCUGUGACUGAUUCUGUGAAAUGCUCCAGCAGAGUCACUUCUCCCCCAGACAGGAGUGUCACAAGUGCUUUUCUUCUUGUUGCCAAGGCAAGUGCCCGUUUGCUUCCCUCAUUUUUCUUCUUUGCUGAUGGCAGAGGUCAACAGUGAGCCAAGGGUCUCAAUCCUGCCCUGGUCUCUCCCAUCUCAGUGGUGUUCAGCAUCUCCCAGUUUGGAGCCAACCUCUGAGCAUAUCUCACUCCCACAGUAGUUUCCUCAUAGCAGUGGUAUUUAAUUGGCCAGUUCUGAUUUGUGAAGAUAUGUUUUGGAGAAGGAAGGGCUGAAGUCUCCACCAGCUCCUUGGGGGUUUUCCUCAUUGGUUAAGGAUUGUGGGUCCUCAAAGGUGUGCUCAUAUUAAAACCUACAGUCCGAGACACAAGCGAAUUAAGAGGACAGACAAAUGGGUGCUUGAUGACAGAGGCAGGAGAAGGACGAAGAGUGGUGGGUGGAAUUGUGGACAGAUACACACUGAGAUGAACUGCACCAUGAAAUAGCUGUGCUUGGCUGAUGCAUUCACUGAACAAGAAGACUCCAGAGAAGGGGAUGGGGAUCUGCAGGGCUGUCCAAGCUCAGCACAGCUCCCUGUGCUGUGCUGUCAGCCCUCGCUGUGCCCAACCCUCCAUCUCCUUUGACUUGAGGGUUAGCGGAGCCGCUGCUGGAGCAGCAUUGGUAGAGGGGCACUUCUGCUCACCACUAGCCUUGUUCCCUCUGGCACAUGGCUGUCCCCACUGAGCAGCAUCCAGCCCUGCGGAUGGCCAGCCCCAGCAAUAAGCCCCACCACUGCAUUGUCCCUCGGAGAUGCCUCCUACCCCCUCCCCGCUGCUCCCGUCUCUCCUGGCAAAUUCUCCCCCUCCUCCUGGAUCCAGCCGCUCUCAUAAUAGCAUCCUUUUCAUGGAGACAAAUUGUCCAGCCGGGGGCUGCACCUGAGGGCUUUCACCCUUUAACAAAUAGCCUUUUAAUUUUCUGCCAGAAGGGCAUGGAAAGAGGGGGGGGGGGGCAGGGAAGAGAGAGGGAAAGGGGGCUGGAGAGGGGGUUGCACAGAGGAGAGAGAAUCAAUCAGACAUCCAUCUUCAUCAUUGCUGCCAAGGGACCAUUUGCACUGGCUGGAGGCCCCUGGGGGAAGGUGGGGUGAAAAAGAGAAGAGGUUGGGGUGAGGGGGAGGCAGGAGGCAGCAAGAAUAUGGGGGGGGAAGUGGGGGGGUCACAAUGUUACGCUUCUGAGAGCCAUGUGGAACAGUUGCCCUCAAGGAAGAUAAACAGCAACCCUUGGAGCCCAGGGAGCAGCACAGAAGGCCCUUUUCCUGCUCUGCCUCUGCUCUCUGAUAAGCCUGGGUCUGAUCUGGAAGAGGCAACCCUGGCUCAGGGCACAUAGCUGGGGGGCACAGGACAGCCCCUGCAGUCUGAGAGCUCUGUGCGAGGAACAAAGAACCUCAGAGGGGACCCCAGCAGCGCCUUUUCUCCAGCAAGGACAGACAUCGCGCACAGCUUCCACCCUGGACAGAUGAGCCUGAAGGUCUGUUCUCUUCAGUGCCUCCCAGCAAGGAGCACACCAACAUUUUUCUCCCCUCUCCUCCAGAUCCUCUGUCAUGCGGGGAGACCGAGCAGCAGUGCCAGCUUUGGCUGGGAUCUGUCGCCUUUCCCAACAAAAAUAAGCAAAGAGGUUAAUUAGAUGUUUGCAAUCCAAUUUACAUCUUGUUUGUGAAACCAGUAUUUCAGCUGUAACCCAGCCUGAGAGCCCCUGUGCCCUUACUCUUUUGCUAAAUUUAUUUCACAGCUUCACAGAACUGGCUCGGCUGGGUCAGAACUCUCCCAUUAUCGUUUUAUCGUCACCUCUUACUCUGUAAUUACAAGCUGCUUCCCUCUCCACUCUCCCCAGCCCCCUCCAUGCACAAAGUGGAGAUGCUGGCAUUGCUUUAAGCUUUUGCCUCUACUUGCCUCACCCACUGGGGCAGCUUGGCCCUGAUCUCAGCAGAUAAGCAAAGGAAGGUGGUGGGGAAAGAGGGGCACACUGCUCGCAUCCCCAGGGAUUGAGGUAUUCUAAUUCACCAGUAAAUGCAACCAGACACAAAGAGAGGAGCUCACAGGCAGAGGUGUGUCCAGACAUGCAGCAUUUCAGCAAUGGGGACGUGUCAUUGCACAACUUAAAAACAGCGUCUGGGGCAAAAAUGGGCACUGGCAGAAAGGAUGCUGCCUGGAUGCAGGUGGACACAGCCAGCAGUGCCAUGCUUUGUUGCAAAAAUUUGGCUUCGUUUCAGUCACCUGUGAGCAUGAAUCAAAGGAGAACUUGCAGGCAGCAUGAAUGUGCACACACACAGCCAGCUCAAUUGCCCAUGAGAAGGUUCGUGCAAUUAACAGGCAGCCGGCUCCUUUCAUGUAGCAAAGAAAGGAUUAGGGGGGAGGUUAUAUUCCUGGAGCAAACCCAUGUGAGGAGAUUUCAGCAGGAGUGCUCCCGGGAACGGGGAGCACAGCCCUUCCCAAACAUGGGACCUCAAGGGCAAGAAGGAAGGAAAGACAGAGCAUAGGCCAUCCACGGAGGUGGCAAGGAAAACCUUUUCCCAGACAAAUCCCUGCUGGAUGUGGAGUGAAGGUGGGUGCCAGUCUCAGCAGCAGGCCUUGGGACAGCACUGAACACUUAAGUCCACCACACACCAUGCCUCUGUUACAGGUGGACAGCCGCAGCACAGUUCCCCACCCCCAGCUCUGCUCCUUGCACACUGAUCAUCCGCAGGCCCAGCAUCAGGCAGAGCCACCUCAGUGCUCCCCUAAAACAACGACCAAAACUCCCACUGUGCACCAAUCACGACCAGGGCUGAGGAUACCACUCCUUCCUUGCUGCUGGAGGAACAGUGACUCCCCAUUAACCAAGAGGCAUUAUUCAUCAUGAACAUCACCCAGCGGGGACAGCCAUGAUGUCUGAGCACCCAGUCCCCCUAGCUCCAUAACAUGGGCACAGAAAAGGUAGGCUCAUUUAUAACCCACAGAGACACCAGCUCCAGAUAAUGAAUUUCCUCCACACUGCAAAGGAGGAAAGGUUUGCCAAGGCUGGAAAUAAUCACCCUGAGGCAAGGCAGGCACUGGACUCCAGGCACCUCUACCCCCUGCAGAUGAUAAUCCCCCUUGUGACUGGGUUAAGGGCAACGCAAAGAAACCACAAUUUAUCAUCUGCUUGAACUGCAUCCAUCCUCCAGAUUUCCAGCCGUGUGGCAGAACACACUCAAAGAGAGCGAUCCCAGGCUGGUAUCAACCCAGGAGAAAAUCCCUUUGGAGACCUCCUCAGGACACAGAGGAGACACCUGCAGGCGUUGGAUGCAGCAGGCACGAGCAGGUUAACACCACAAGAGCACAGCCUCCUCCUGCAUUCAUGGAGGCUGAAGCCCCAUCAAGCCCACAUAGCUCCACGAUAUUAAAGCUUUCCCCUCAUGCAUAUAAGCAAGCAGGGGGGCUAAUUGCUUCUUAUGACACUAUAAUGGUCGGACUAUUUACAGUAGAUUAAAAUCCAAUUCAUAAUAAGGUAUAAUAACUUCCUAAAUGCCAGGAUUAGUCAAAGGGUGAGGAGUGCUGUGAAGAGUCAGAGCCGAGCAGCCCUGGACCUGGGGUCUGAGCCCUAGACAGAGCCCUAGAGAGCUAUUGCCAGGAUAAGGAUGGUUUUUUUGGUUGGAUUCUCCCUCUUUGUUUGCUUUUCCCCACAUGUUUAGCACAGGGAUUGGAGGAAAGGGCCAUAGUGAGCAGAGACCUGGCAUCCAACACAACGAGGGGAAGGAGCAAUGCACAGUUCUGCAAAGCUACCAGAAGGAGGGCGAGCUGCUGGUGCAUGGCCAAGCACCUGGGCAUCCACAAAGCAGCCUGUUCUUCACCUUCCUCACCAAAAACAGAGUGCCUUUCCCCAAACACAGAUGCUGGGAAAUCCUCCGGUCACACUGAGACCUAAGGUAUCCGUGAGACCAGGAUCCAGCACCCUUAUGGAAAAGUCCCACCGGCCCACAUACUGGAUGAUGCACAGCAUGCUGCAACAUCAGAACUCCUAGAAACCCAAUGGCACAGCCAGCCCUUCUGAAACACCCCCAUUCAACCACCCAUCACCCGGAGAGGACACAAGCAGAGGCUCAUGGGCCACUCCAAUGCUUCCCCAGACUUUGUCCCUUGUGUGCAUGGUACUCCUGCAGCUGUGGGAGUUUCUGUCCUGCAGGAGAACGAGGGCUGAGAUACAGUCCUGUUCAGGUUUGCUUCCUGCCUCUCUCAUGUUUAUGGGUAUAUGACCUUGAAUGAGCCCAGCGACACAUCAUUCCUGACUUGUUCAGAGGAGGUAUUUAUUUAUUCUCCGGCAGUGACAUGGGCUGACAGUGCCCUCUGAAUUUCAAAUAGAGCUCAGAUCUAUUUUCAUAGUCUGUGUGGCUCUGCUAACAAAUAGGCACAGGGGAAAGAGUCCUAAAAACUGAGACUGAAAUGGUCAGACACCAAGCUAGGAGAUGUGGCGAGCACUCUGCCCAGGAUAACUGGGCUCUCCAAGCAUGCAGGUACCACCUCACUGCCUUCCCACAGCAUCAAACCAGAUCUCUGCUAAAAAAUGUGAUAACAAACCCUCUGGAAAUCUGGUUCUUCAGUGCACAGUGCUGUGAGGGUAUCACUUGUGCAGCUGGACACUUACUACCCCCAGCUUGUGACUGCAAAGUUGCAUACAUUGGGGUUGAGGAAAGCUAGAUGCAAUAUUUGAUUUCCUAAAGGAUAAAGCCUUCUCUUCUCUACAGAGUCUACCUCAGUAUGAUCACUUAAAUAGCUACCCCAUGCAUGGGAACAUAAUAGGAGCACUGAAUUGUAAAAGCAGCUACAGCUGUAAUAUUAUUCGUGCUUAAAAGAAAGUCAGUCAAGCCUCAGGUACAGCAAAGAUAAACUGAGAUUUGCCAAAGUCACGUUCACAUCAGCAAAGGGCUCUGCCUGGCAAAGGCUCCAUACAGCGCUGCCCAUUGUGUGAGCAUACAGCAGCGCCCAGGGGCAUCACAGGAUCCAUCCCACCAUCUUCAAGCCAGCAGUAAUGCAUCUGGAAAUGCAAGUCCGGGUCAGAUCCAGCAGCACAGCCGAGGGAGCAACAGGCAAGUCUCCAGUGAAUGACAGGCCCAACACCAAGCCCAGAAGUGGGCUGAUGUCCUCACCAAGAGGGCCUAUGGCCAGGGAUAGGCAAGGCUGAAAUAGGUGCACCCAGAGCAAAGCUCAGACAGUGAGGGAAGUCUCUGAUCUGAGCUUUAAAAUAAGCUCCCAGUGCGGGCAGAGGGUGUGGGUGCAGGUCGAGGUGAGGCUAGUCAGGGUCUUCAAGGCUUUUCAGCACUCACAGAAACCAACAGCUGCCUCUGUUCAAUGGUUUGGGUGCACCAAAUGGGGGCUUUGUUACAACAUGGGCUGGGUGUUUGCUCAGCAUCCAUGUGAAAUGAAGAGGUGUUAUCCAGUAUGAAUAAAGGUACUGGAUCUCAGAUGGACAUUGAAGCUUUUGGAACCCCAGAAAACUUGUCUGUGGCAGCUCCUAGAAAGGUGACUUUUGGUAGUCCCAGGGCUGUCUGAGGUAGCCUCUCCCUUUGGAUGUCACUAACCACUGCCUGUCACUGUGGGGUCACAGUGUGCAGGGAGAACCUGGAGGAACUCCCGUCAAACUGGAAUACACCACCCCCCCACCUCCACCACACAACCAGGGCUGAAGCCCAAGGGCUGCCAGGAGAGCCUGGUGCCUUGGGGAGCAGAGUGGAGCUUUCCUCCUGCUCAUCCCAGCAGGAGAGAGAAGGUGCUCAUAACCUCAACCUGAAGCAUAACACACGUGUGGAGGCUGAAUCAAUAGGCUCAGGCAACAAAGGAGAUGUCCAGGAAGCUGACAUGAUGUCUCCUGCACGACAGAUUGGCCGGUGCCUGAGAGCAUUUGGCCACAUGGCAACUCCUAGCACUGGGGUGGGACAAGGCUCCUUGGCCAGCAUCUGAACCAAUUACCUACACAGUCCUCUUUGAUUCACCAGUACCAGGAAGAAAAACAAUUUUCCCCAUUCUGGUUUUGUUUGAGGAUGAGUGGGAGAGAGCUAGAGCAAGAAACAGGGCUGAAGUGCGCUGAGAGAGCGGCAUUGCAUCUCGAUUGGAAGGAGCCCGUGGCCGCAGCCCAAGUGAAAUUCCAACUUUAUGACAUAAUGGGCUUUUUCUAACCAGCACUCACUAUUAACUCUGGCACUGGCUUAAACCCCCUGGCCU